rnacentral:rRNA from 1 species
UACGAAGGGGGCUAGCGUUGUUCGGAAUCACUGGGCGUAAAGGGCGCGCAGGCGGUCCGUUAAGUCCGAAGUGAAAUCUCCCGGCUCAACUGGGAGGGGUCUUCGGAUACUGGCGGACUUGAGGAGUGCAGAGGUGAGUGGAAUUCUCGGUGUAGUGGUGAAAUGCGUAGAUAUCGAGAGGAACACCAGUGGCGAAGGCGGCCUGCUGGGCUGUUGCUGACGCUGAGGCGCGACAGCGUGGGGAGCAAACAGG